UCUAGUAGCUAGCUCUAUGCAACUCUCACAUGGUUGCCCACUGUUGCUAAGCAGGGCUGCGCCCAGUCAGUACCUGAAUGGUGGAACCACAUGGGAAAGCUUGGUUGCUGCCAGAA
rnacentral:rRNA from 1 species